CUGCGGCCGGGCGCGGGCGGGCCCUGGGAGAUGCGGGAGCGGCUGGGUACCGGUGGCUUCGGAAACGUCUGUCUGUACCACCAUCGGGAACUUGAUCUCAAAAUAGCAAUUAAGUCUUGUCGCCUAGAGCUGAGUACCAAAAACAGAGAACGCUGGUGCCAUGAAAUCCAGAUCAUGAAAAAGUUGAACCACUCCAAUGUUGUAAAGGCCUGUGAUGUUCCUGAGGAAUUGAAUUUUUUGAUUAAUGAUGUGCCUCUUCUAGCAAUGGAAUACUGUUCUGGAGGAGAUCUCCGGAAGCUACUCAACAAACCAGAAAAUUGCUGCGGACUUAAAGAAAGCCAGAUACUUUCUUUACUGAAUGAUAUAGGGUCUGGGAUCCGAUAUUUGCAUGAAAACAAAAUUAUACAUCGUGAUCUAAAACCUGAAAACAUAGUUCUUCAGGAUGUUGGUGGAAAGAUUAUACAUAAAAUAAUUGAUCUGGGAUAUGCCAAAGAUGUUGAUCAAGGAAGUCUGUGUACAUCUUUUGUGGGAACAUUGCAGUAUCUGGCCCCAGAGCUUUUUGAGAAUAAGCCUUACACAGCCACUGUUGAUUAUUGGAGCUUUGGGACCAUGGUGUUUGAAUGUAUUGCUGGAUACAGGCCUUUUUUACAUCAUCUGCAGCCAUUUACCUGGCAUGAGAAGAUUAAGAAGAAGGAUCCAAAGUGUAUAUUUGCAUGUGAAGAGAUGACAGGAGAAGUUCGGUUUAGUAGUCAUUUACCUCAACCAAAUAGCCUUUGUAGUUUAAUAGUAGAACCCAUGGAAAACUGGCUACAGUUGAUGCUGAAUUGGGAUCCUCAGCAGAGAGGAGGACCUGUUGAUCUUACUUUGAAACAGCCAAGAUGUUUUGUAUUAAUGGAUCACAUUCUGAAUUUGAAGAUAGUACACAUCCUAAAUAUGACUUCUGCAAAGAUAAUUUCUUUUCUGUUACCACUUGAUGAAAGUCUUCAUUCACUGCAGUCUCGUAUUGAGCGUGAAACUGGAAUAAAUACUGCUUCUCAGGAGCUACUUUCAGAGACGGGAAUUUCUCUUGAUCCGCGGAAACCAGCCUCUCAAUGUGUUCUGGAUGGAGUAAGAGGCUGUGAUAGCUAUAUGGUUUAUUUGUUUGAUAAAAGUAAGACUGUAUAUGAAGGACCAUUUGCUUCUAGAAGUUUAUCUGACUGUGUAAAUUAUAUUGUACAGGACAGCAAAAUACAGCUUCCAAUUAUACAGCUGCGUAAAGUAUGGGCUGAAGCAGUGCACUAUGUGUCUGGGCUAAAAGAAGACUACAGCAGGCUCUUUCAGGGACAAAGAGCAGCAAUGUUAAGUCUUCUUAGAUAUAAUACUAACUUGACAAAAAUGAAGAAUGCUUUGAUCUCAGCGUCUCAGCAACUGAAAGCUAAACUGGAGUUUUUUCACAAAAGCAUUCAGCUUGACUUGGAAAGAUAUAGUGAGCAGAUGACUUAUGGAAUAUCCUCCGAAAAAAUGUUAAAAGCAUGGAAGGAAAUGGAAGAAAAGGCUAUCCACUAUGCUGAGGUCGGUGUCAUUGGAUACCUGGAGGAUCAGAUCAUGUGCUUACACACUGAAAUCAUGGAGCUACAGAAAAGCCCUUAUGGAAGACGUCAGGGAGACUUGAUGGAAUCUCUGGAACAGUGCGCCAUUGAUCUGUAUAAGCAGUUAAAGCACAGACCUUCAGAUCACUCCUACAGUGACAGCACGGAGAUGGUGAAGAUCAUUGUGCAUACUGUGCAGAGUCAGGACCGGGUUCUGAAGGAGCUGUUUGGUCAUCUGAGCAAGUUGUUGGGAUGUAAACAGAAGAUUAUUGAUCUACUGCCCAAGGUGGAAAUGGCCCUCAGUAACAUCAAAGAAGCUGACAGUACUGUAAUGUUUAUGCAGGGAAAGAGGCAGAAAGAAAUAUGGCAUCUCCUUAAAAUUGCCUGUACACAGAGUUCAGCUCGGUCUUUUGUAGGAUCCAGUCUUGAAAGUGCAGUAGCUACCCCUCAGGCAUCAGCAUGGCUGCCUCCAAAUUCAGCAGAACGUGAACAUCCGCUGUCAUGCGUGGUAACUCCUCAAGAUGGCAUAAGAUGUGCCGUAUCCAGAGCCAGUGGCUCUUUGCUAGCUUGUGUAUUGUCGCUUUUCUUACAACUCAUGGAGACCUCUACAGCACCAGCAUUUCCUGGAAGCUCUGCCCAUAAUUAGUUUUGCAGAAGUGCAGCCAUGUUACAUCACUGCUCAGGAGGUCAUGCAGUUUGCACAUUCUGUACUCUACUUUUAUGAGAGAAAAGCACAUGGCAGGAAGGCAAGCUGAUAACAGGGAGACUUUGGCACAAAUGAUAGAAGAAAAUUUGAAUUGUCUUGGCCAUUUAAGCACUAUUAUUCAUGAAGUAAAUGAGGAACAGAGCAGUAAGAUAGCG